AUAGCGUUGUGCAUUUCUGCCAAAAAGUUCAACUUUUGUCUCAUCCAUCCAUAGGAAAUAGUGCCAGAAGCAUUGUGGAAUGUUCAUUGAUUGGAACACCUGACUCCAGUUAGCUUUAGGAGAAGUCACUUGCCUAGAGGUUCACAUACGUUUGUCUACCUCGACUGUGAAUGUUUAAAUGAUGCAUAUUGAAUAUGAUGAAUAUUGACAAGAAGUACAGUUACUUAUUUGUUAUUAGUUUAAGCAGAUUGUAGUAGUCUAUUAUUGUGAUUCAGAUGAAGAUCUGAUCACAUUUAAAUAGUAAUUAAUGCAGAAAUCCAGGUAAUUCCCAGGAUUUACAAACUUUUUCUGUGCAACUGUACAUAUGUAUGUAUAAAUUGUCUGCAAGCACAUCCCAGUCAGCAUGUGUAUAUUCAAAAAUCGUUACAGAUUCUGAAGUGGAUGAAGACAGAUAACAGGUUUUCUUCCCUACAAUAAAUUCAAACCCUUAUAUACGCUUGGUAGAAUGCUGUAAUGUAACGUAAUUUGAUGUAAUGACAUGGCUCAGCAUUUUAUAGCAGGGGGGACUCAUCUCAACAACCACCAGUAUGUAGUCGAAAACAUUCAUUACACAUCGUUUAUAAAGAGGAAUUAUUUAGCCAAAUAUUCUUCUGGAUGAUUAGGCAGCCGGAUUGGAUGAACCAUGUUAGGAACAUUUUCAGGACACAAGGACACCUCACAUUCUUAGCAAAAAGUGCAAUGUGGUCUUUUAAAAAUAUUUGAUCUCCAUAUUUCUGAAUUCCCAAGUUUUUAAAUACUCUAGUCCCAAAACCAAAGCCUGUCUUCCCUAAUCCUCACAUAUAAAGUGUCAUCAAGCUCACUUUUUAAUGUGACUAAAUAUGACUGAAUAAUAUAUUCACAAGUAAUGAUCACUGUUUACAGUAAUUUAAGCGCGUGGUAAUUUUACCCUGAAUUGUUUGUAAGUCUGAUGAGAAAAGAGACAAUGACUCAGUAUGGGGGUCUUCUCUCGCUCACUGUGGCGAGAGUGCGAGUGAUGUGGAGUAAGAAGAUGUUCACCACAAACAUAUGAGACAAACGUGACUAGAGAGUUGCAUCUCUGGCUACUCGCUUUCACAGAGUGCUCAGAAAGGAUUAGGCUUAUUGUGAACUAACCAAAUGUGCACCAACUGGAAAAUUAUCAGCAGUUUGUCAGUUGAGGAGUGAACAAACUAAGUUGGUGAUUCCUCAGUUUUAAAAACAGUGUCCCACUUAACUGGUGGUAAGACUAUUUAGGUGGUUUAGAACCCAGUCAGAACAGUUUUAGUCUUCUGUGAAGCCAUCUGUGAUAGUCUAAUCUGCCUCAAAAACAGGUAGAUAAAAAUGCAUAUAUUAUACUGUUCCUACAGGAACAAGCAAAAGACAGGCUAUGUUCAGAGUGACACAGGUUAAGUGAACCAUACAAGAUACAACCCACACUAUCAUAUUAAUUACAAUGUCUUUAAUGCUCUAAGAUAGAAUUUGCGCCUAUUUAUAUACUGUGGAAACAUUUUAAGAUGUUUGUACGGUUGAGACCCUUAACGACUGAGAGACGAACAGUGGAAAAAAAAAAAAGAGGGGGAGGACAGACACGCAUUUGAUAUGUAGCGAGAUAUUCGCUCAAGGCUUAGGGGGUCUUUCAGUUAACCGUCUUAAAUGAGUCAGUCAUCUUUUGAUGUGACAUAUAAUCUGAGACACACUUUUUAUAGAAUCAUUUGGAGCUGACAUGCACCACUGAUCACUUUCUUUCUGCCUGUCACAUUGAAUCACUCAACUAUUGACGAUGAGGUCCAUGACAGGAGUCUUCCUGACUCUCUUUCUCUCUCCUCUCUUCUCACUCUAUCACUCAUUACAUUGUGACAGUGAGACCGAGUACUCAUCCGAUGGAAAGUGCUGCAGCAAGUGUAAACCAGGGGAACGCUGGGACGGACACUGCACCGCCACCAGCCCCACCAAGUGUGUACCGUGCAGAGGUGGCUACUACUCCGACCGCUACGAUGAGGCACGGACCUGCCGCAGAUGCAGUGACUGCAGCAUGAUCCGUUUGGAGUACAGGAUAAACUGCACGGCCACUCACAACGCGGUGUGUGGUUGUGAACGUGGGUACCAGUGUAAAAGUGAGCCAUGCCUAGAUUGUGAAAAAAUAACUACUCCUGAUGCAGGCAAAGAUACAACAACUACCAAAGAAGUGUCAACGGCCCCAGGAGUAAAGCCUGUUAAGGAAGGGCCUUCUUCCAGCAUGUGGUCCACUCACAUUGUUCUUAUAGUGUGUUGUUGCACACUGCUGAUCUUUGUCAUUCUCAUCUCUAGAAACAAAAAUGAAUUGCGAUGGAUCUGGAGAACAAAGAACGGGUGCCGGAUUGCCAGAGAGACAGCCACACCGAAUCAGUGCACGGAGGAGGAGGGGAAAAUGCCUGUUCAGGAAGUGUGUGAAAAGCUGGAAGUGUAGGAAUGCUUUAUCCUUGAUGGACAGACACAGACGGCUGAUAGCCAUUUUAACAUUACAAAGAACAAACAACAAUAUAUUCUGGGUAAACAAUGCGUCAAAAUGUACAAUGACAGAAACAAGAAAUCGGAUAGGAGGAGAAAGAAAGGGAGCAAAGAACAAAAGGAGAGAAAAAGACAGGAGGAAGAAUUACACUGUUGAGUGUAUACACGCGCGUAUACACAUGCACACACACAAAAUAUCAUGUAUAUAUUGAUUUGGGUUGCAAUAGCCCACAUUAAGUUGUUGACAUUUAAUUCAAAUAUAUACAUUUAAAUAUUUAACCAUGUCAAUGCUUUAAAGAAACUAAAAACAUUUGCACAGACACAGUUCAGCAAGUGAACUUAAGUUAAAAACAGUUGCAAAUUUUUAAAAAAAAAUUAAUAUAAUUGGAAUAUUAAACAACAAUUAAAUGUCUACUAUAAGAGUAAACAAAAUAUAUACAUUAUAAUUGAUAUGAUGGUUCCAUUAUUUUCAAAGACAACCAAACAAUCUACAGUACCUAUAGAAAUAUUUACAAGUUAGGGGGAUUUAUGAGAAAUAGAAAUAAAUACACUUUUAAUUUGAUUGUCAUUUCUCCUUCUGUUGACAACAAAUCUCCUCCUCCUCUUUCGACAAGUGACUCUCUUUCCCUUGUUCUUGCAACGGAAAGAAAAUGCAGUCUUUCUCUGCGUCCCGCUCCUCUUCUGACAGGUGGAUGGGAGGAGAAGUGGGAGAAGGGGGAGAGGGGGUCUCCUCUUUUUGUGCUGUAUUCCCUCCCUCCGUCUUUCCCUCUGGGUUUGCAAAGUGGUUCAGCAGACUGACGAACACUGAUCCUGCACUGUAUAUGUGGAAUGGACCUGGAGGACGGGGCAGAACUGUUACCAUAGUGAUUUACCGUAUCCAGGGCAACUUAGGACACACAUCAUAUUAAAUACAGUAACAAACCUACUAUUAUGAAGGUCGCGCAAUUAUACUACAAUAGUACUGUCAAAAUGUACAUUAGUGGCACAAAUUAUGGAAACGCCGUUCUUAAAGAACAGUAGUCUCAAAACUUUUAUCUGUGUCCUCCCUUUUGUUGUUGUUUCUCUGAGCCAUUUUUUUUCUGUAAAAAUGUAUUUGAAACAUUUAUCUUCUUGACCAAGAGUGGGAAUGACAUUAUGUGACUAUCUGUAAUUUUAAAUAAAUUAUACAACCAAAAAUGAAAA